UUCCGGUUGAUCCUGCCGGACCUGACUGCUAUUGGAGUAGGACUAAGUCACGCUAGUCAAAGGUGCGGAAUGGAGCACCUGGCGUACGGCUCAGUAACACGUAGUCAACCUACCCUAAGGACGAGGACAACCACGGGAAACUGUGGCUAAUACUCGAUAAGAAAUUUGGCCUGGAACGGUAUCUUUCACAAAACCGGCUCGCCGUGAGACACGGGCCUUAGGAUGGGGCUGCGGCUGAUUAUGCUAGAUGGCGGUGUAAAGGACCACCAUGGCUACGAUCAGUAUGGGCGAUGGAAGUCGGAGCCCAGAGUCGGCUACUGAGACAAGGAGCCGAGCUUUACGAAGCUUAGCGGUCGCGAAAACUCGCCAAUACACGAAAGUGUGAGUGGGCUACUCCAAGUGUCAUUCUUACGGAUGACUGUCGCUCGGUCUUACCAGCUGAGAAAGGAAGGAGAGGGCAAGGCUGGUGCCAGCCGCCGCGGUAAAACCAGCUCUUCGAGUGGUCAGGACGAAUAUUGGGUCUAAAGCGCUCGUAGCCGGACAAGUAGGUUCUUGGUUAAAUCCGACAGCAUAACUGUUGGUCUGCUGGGAAUACCGCUAGUCUUGGAAGCGGGAGAGGACAGAGGUAGUCAUAGGGCAGGGGUGAAAUCCAGUGAUCCUAUGGCGACCACCGAUGGCGAAGGCAUCUGUCUGGAACGUAUUCGACGGUGAGGGGCGAAAGCUAGGGGAGCGACCCGGAUUAGAUACCCGGUUAGUCCUAGCCGUAAACGAUGCGGACUAGGUGUUACAGCGGCCAAGAGCCACUGUAGUGCCACAGCGAAGGCGUUAAGUCCGCCACCUGGGGAGUACGGAUGCAAGUCUGAAACUUAAAGGAAUUGACGGGGGCGCACCACCAGGAGUGAAGCCUGCGGUUUAAUUGGACUCAACGC
rnacentral:rRNA from 1 species